GGGGACCGGAACAAAAAAAGGGGAGGAGAAGAACAAAACAGAGGAGCGGCGGUCUGAGAGCAAGAAAAAAAAACAAAAAAACAGAGCAAAAAGGGAAAAUGGAGGGGGUUUCGUCGGAGAGCAAAAGAAACGAAAAGAAGGGAGCAAAAGAAACGAAAAGCUGGAAAAUUGAAAGAAGGUUCGGCAGUAGAAAAAUCAGAGGGGAAAGAAGAAAAAGAGACGAGGGUGGCGGCUAGAAUCUUGGGAGGAUUGCGGAAAAGAACACAGAAAAAGGAAGAGAAAAGAAGGCUCCACAGGUGGCGGGUUGAGCAAAUUGGAGGGCAGAAGAAAGCAAGGGGCGGCUGAGAUUUUGGGGUUGAAAAAUAGGUUUGAGGGCCGAGAGAAAGGGAGCUUCGGUCAAGGAGAGAACGAGAAACAGAGGCUCGGGGGUGGAAAGAAAAGAAAAUAGCAACGGAAAAGGAGAGGUUCGAAUGGCCGAGAGUAGGAAAGAGUGAGAGGGAAAAGCAAAAAGGGGGGACUUCGAGUAAAGCAGAAAAACAGAGAGGGAGUCUUCGGCAAGAACAGAGGAAAAAUCUGAAAAUUGGGGAAGUUCCUCGGGUAGAGAGAAAUGAGCGAGAGAGAGUGAAAACAGGAAAGAAAUGGCAACGGAUGAAGAGGUCCUGGGCUGAGGGAAGGAGGUUUUUUUUUUGGGCAAAACAAAAAGAGAAAGUCAGAGAGAGACGGACGAAGAGGGAGAAAGGAAAUCUGGAAAAUGGAAGGGAGCUUCUGUGAGAGCAAAACGGAGGCGAGGAAAAGCUAAGAGAGGCGGACGGGCAAGGAAAAACUGGAGAAAGGAAUACCGCCGCCGCUCAUAGCCGCCGCCACUUCACCGACCCGCCAUCAUCACCGGCCAAUUUUCAUCGAACAAGAGCACGGGGUGGAGCUCGGAGCAAGUAGGCGUGAACUAGUGUAUAUAAUCUCUUGUACUUGUACUUUUGUAGAUAAGAUGUAUUUGGAAUCUUUAAAAUGUAAUCCUAUGUUUUACUUUUGGAUUGUAAAUUAAGUUUGAAUUGUUGGUUGGAAAUGGAACUUUUAUG